GUUAAUGGGUAGAAGAGAGGUGUCGAGUUUCCGACUUUUCUUUCGUUCUUUGCUUUCUCUCUCUCAUGAAACGGAAACGGUGACCGCAGGGAAGAAGAAACGGCGACCGCAGUGCCGUUAUCGGGAUCUGCAAGUCGUUCAGACCUUUCUUUCGUUCCGAGCAAUGCCGUUAUCGGGAUCUGCAAGUCUUUGAUCGCCGGUGGCGUUGCCGGCGGAGUGUUCAAAAUCUACACAGUAUAAAGUACAAUGUGACGGUUCAGAGAUUAAAGUACAAUGGGAAGAAGAAACAACCGCAGGGGAAGAAGAGAUCGUAUUUUAGCAGCCGAAAGAGAAGAGAUUCCGAGCAACAUGGAUGCCUCAAGGUGAAAAGAGGAGGAGACUUGAAGAAGAGAAGGGGAUUAUUAUCCGGUUUGUCAUUGGUCACAAAGGCUGAGGACAGGAGGCAUGGAGAUUUCUUGAGACUGGAACGGAGAAACCAAGCUUCGUCGAAGAUGAAGGAGGCAUAGUGCUCAUCUCCAACAAUCUCUCAUCCUCUUCUUUUUCCUCUAGGUAUGGUUGCUACUCUCUCAUCCUCUUCUAAUGUCUAGAGUUUUGUUGGUGUUUACAGUGUUUCUAAAAACUCCAAAAAUAAGAGACUUGCAUUGGAGGUGCUAA